GUGCUCACCUCAGCAGCACAUAUAUUAAAAUUGGAACAAUACAGAGAAGAUUAGCAUACCCUUGUGCAAGGAUGACAUGCAAAUUUGUGAAGAAUUUGUACAUAAA